CAGCCAUAUCACGUUGAAACACCGGUUCUCAUACGAUCACUGAAGUCAAGCAACAUCGAGCUUGGUCAGUAUCUAGAUGGGUGACCUCUUAGGAAUACUAGGUGCAGUA